GGGUCGAGCGCUGGGCAAGCGACGUAGGAGAAGUGCCGUUCAUUCCUGCGGCACGGAGACAGACUCGCCGAGGCGCGGCGGGCUCGCGGGGCGGGGUGAUUUACCAAACUCUGGUUACGGAAGCCUGCUCUGAGAAGUUGCGAACCCGGUAGAAAUGAACGCGUCCGGGCGGCUUCAGAGGCCUCGCGGACGCCGACCCCAAAGACCCCCGGGAAGCAUGGUCCUGAGCGAGGGUCAUCCACAGACCUCCCCCAAGCCUUUUCAGGUUCCUGCAGGGUCAGGCAUCCCUGCCCUGUAGCCGACUCUAGCAGAUGCUGUUGUUCACGCUGUGGUCAACUCCGUUAGCCCCAGCACUCCCGGACACCGUUUCGCCAUCUCUUGGGCGAGACAUCACUGUCUCCACACUCAGUCCGCUCCCUACUUUGCUAUCAAGACAGAGACCAUCUGCAGGAGGCUCUGGCCUGCGAGAGUAAUGCCAGAAGUGAAAUAGAGAAAGCCAAGAAGGGCUUACAAGUGAGCGAGACAAUAACACCCAGUUAACAGAGCUGGAGGGUCCCCAUUUCACCCAGGCUUUUGGUGAAGCACUUUCGGCAGUUUACAGGACAGGCUUAGUGGAAUGUCUACACUCUCAGUGAAUACCAAAAGGUCUUGAGCUCUGGUCAGUGCUCCAGGAUGGGGGAGACUGAGGUGUUCCCAGAGUUGCUGUCCGUGUGUGCUCCAGCCCGCUGGAUCGAGUCCAGUCCUUCCAACCAGCUUCAAUGUGGGUUUUUCUCUCUGAGUUAGACAGAGAGAGAGGUAGAGAGAAAGGUCUUCCUUCUGUUGGUUCACUCCUCAAAUGGCCGCUACGGCCAGCAUUGCGUCAAUCCGAAGCCAGGAGCCAGGUGCUUCCUCCGGGUCUCCCAUGCGGGUGCAGGGGCCCAAGGAUGUGGGCCAUCCUCCACUGCCUUCCCGGGCACAGCAGAGAGUUGGACUGGAAGAGGAGCAACUGGGACUAGAACCCAUGGUACCGGCGCAGCAGGUGGAGGAUUAACCUAGUCCCGUAGCCUACUAGAUGGAGACCAACCACAAUGAGGACAGAUCUUCACUAUUCCACCUACUAACCCGUGUGGCAGUUUCUUUGGAAACACACUUGCAGACACACCUGGGACAGCCCAAUCAUUCGAAUCAAGUGCAAAUCCGCCUGGAUUACCCUUUCAGCAGAAGAGGGAUGGGCUGAGUAUUUACUGGGACAUUGAAAAAAUUAAUGUAAUAAUUGAGAAAAAAUAAUAGUUUAUCAGCCAUCUGAGUAACCCUUAACUCAGUCAAGUUGAUCUAUAAAACCAACCAUCACAUUAUGUGUAUGUAUCUGUAGAGAUAGUGCCUGGCACACUAUUUUAGUUGAAAUUCAAAAAAUUGCUUAUUAAGCUACAUAAUUUAUAGGUAUGGCAAUUUACUUUGGUGCUAAUAUUUUUGUUCCUAAGCAAUAGAAAUGGAUUAAUUUUAUUCAUGUAACUAGUAUCACUUCAUCCUGUUAGUGGUUAUGGUGGAUGGAUAUUGUCUUUCUCAAAUCUGUAAUUGUUUCUUAAAUAAAU